AUUGAACGCUGGCGGAAUGCUUUACACAUGCAAGUCGAGCGGCAGCGCGGCCUUCGGGCUGGCGGCGAGCGGCGAACGGGUGAGUAAUGCAUCGGAACAUGCCCAGUCGUGGGGGAUAACACUUCGAAAGAAGUGCUAAUACCGCAUAUGUCCUGAGGGGGAAAGCGGGGGAUCGCAAGACCUCGCGCGAUUGGAGUGGCCGAUGUCAGAUUAGCUAGUUGGUGGGGUAAAGGCCUACCAAGGCGACGAUCUGUAGCUGGUCUGAGAGGAUGAUCAGCCACACUGGGACUGAGACACGGCCCAGACUCCUACGGGAGGCAGCAGUGGGGAAUUUUGGACAAUGGGGGCAACCCUGAUCCAGCCAUUCCGCGUGAGUGAAGAAGGCCUUCGGGUUGUAAAGCUCUUUCGGCAGGAACGAAACGGUGGGCUCUAACAUAGUCCGCUAAUGACGGUACCUGAAGAAGAAGCACCGGCUAACUACGUG
rnacentral:rRNA from 1 species